UGCGAUAAUACAGUUGGGACAGGGGGAAAAGUGAAUCGUGCGGCCGACAAUAGUCAGGCAGGUCUUGGGGCAAUACAACCAGUGUUUCAUAUUUUUAACAACUGUAAUGCGUUUGAGAUGUUUGUAUUUCUUGUCAUGAUUUACUGAUUCCCCGGAUAAGACAGAAAAGGGUGCUUUGGCGGAUGUUAUUUUAGAGAGCUGCAUUCAGCAGUUGCUAACUAACGUUAGCUAGCCGCCGCCGGGCGGUCUGUUGUUAUAGCCUGCAUGGUGGUUCUGAGAACCAUGAGUCGUGCUGCACCCCACACUGGAGGCCGUACUCACUCAGACCAGGACAGGCUGAUCGGAGGGUGGGACACACGGAUGGCAACUGUCAGCUUCCCUUCUUGACUGACUACAGACAAUCGGGCUUAAAGGUGAAACUACUAACUGUCUGGCCCCUGGUGACAUCCACACAAUCAGAGCCCAGGACAGGACCACCAAGUAGGGUAGUCUCCCUUUGAUCAAGAUGAGUGCAGUCCGUGGAGGAACGAUCACCUGGCGGCCACAGCCCUGGCAGGACGGGGAUGGUGGGGGCGGGGAGCCCCUCUCGGACAGCGACUCCGAAGAAGAGGACUUUCCCGACGACAGCACCACUCCUUUAGGAGACUACGUCACACAUGGGUUGAAGCAGCUACUGGAUGCUCAGCAGCUGUGUGACGUCACUCUGUUAGUGGAGGGGAAGAGGUUUAUGUGUCACAGAGUCCUCUUGGCAGCGGUCAGUCCGUAUUUCCGUGCCAUGUUCACUAGCCCGUUGGUGGAGUCCCGUCUCACUGAGAUCCGAUUGGAGGAGGUGACGCCGUCAGUCAUGGAGACUGUCAUCCAGUUCGUCUACACUGGGGAGGCGGGGCUCUGCUUGGACACGGCCGAGGACCUGUUUGUGGCGGCCAAUCGGCUUCAAGUGAUGCCCCUGCAGGACCUGUGCUCCAGGUUCCUGUUUGAACACCUGUCUGUGGACAACUGCCUGGGAAUGUACUCUCUGGCCCGCUCCCACCACGACCAGCUGCUCCUGAGGGCCUCUCUGAGGCUGGUGGCACAGCACUUCCCACGCGUGGCCCGCCAGAAGGACUUUCUCCUGCUGGACCCAGGCACCCUGGGCAGCCUGCUGGGCUCCGACCGCCUGGGCGUAGACUCUGAGGCAGAGGUGUACGACGCGGCACGCCGCUGGGCCGAGCACCAGCCCCUGGACCGUUACAGCCACAUGCCGGCCCUGCUCCACCACCUCCGCCCUGGCCUGCUGUCCCUGGAGGAGAGCCGGCGGCUGAGCCAGGAGCUGGGCCCUGCGGCGGCCGGGGAGGGCCUGGGGGGCCCGCUGAGGCCCCGGGAAGGCAUGUUCGAGAAGAAGAUCGUGUGUGUGGACCUGAAGCCGCGGGAGGACGAGUCGCUGAACGAGAGGGACUUCACUGUGGACUGCUUCGACCCGCGUACAGGGAAAUGGGAGAAGCUGGCUGCCCUGGGCUCUCUGCUGUGCCCAGGUUGCACAGCCAUCGGGGGGGCGGCUGUUCGUAGCGGGGGGCAUCCUGCGGGGGGGCACGGUGUCCACAGAGGUCCAUGAGUAUGACUCUGUGUUGGAUCGCUGGCAGGAGCGGUCGCCCAUGGUGCAGCCCCGGGCCAUGCUGGGUCUGCUGGGCUGUGGGGAGUCACUCUACGCCCUGGGGGGGCUGCAACAGAGGAGCCAUGCUGGACUCCUGUGAGAUCCUGGACCUGGCCUCUCUCCAGUGGGGCCCCGGGCCCCGUCUGCCCCUGCCGCUGCGCUCCUUUGCCUGUGCCGCCCUGCGCGGCCGCAUUUACCUUCUGGGCGGCACCACGCUGGAGCAGAACCGGGCGGUGGUGCACGCUGGCGUGCUAAUCUACCACACCCUGACUGACUCAUGGACCCGUGUGGGACUGGACUCUGGCGCCACCUGCCUGGCCGGAGGGGUGGCGGUGCGGGGAGGGGUCUGUGCCAUCGGAGGCUACAUGAGGGACGCCACAAAGUUUAUAGAUGGGAACUACACCCACCUGGAACCUCUGGACGCCACGGGGCGAGUGCUGUUCUUCAGGGAGGGCCGGGGCUCAGGGGUGGAGCGGGAGGUGACGGGGGCGGUGGUGGCAGAGAGGAGUGGGGGGAGCGACCGGGCCCCUAGUCCGGUGGUUUUCCCGGGGCUGCCGAGGCGGAUCGCUGCCGGGGGCGUGGCCAGGUGGAAACGCAGGAUAUACGUGCUGGGCGGAGAGAACGGCUCCCGUUUCUAUGACAGUGUGUACUGUUGGAAGCCUGGCUGGCGCAGCUGGGUCCAGAGACGGGAGAAACUACCCGGAGACACGGGGGGAGUCAGCCAGUUCGGCUGUACCACCCUCAAGUUCCCUAAGAAACACAUCCUGUCCCGACUGAGACUGGCUCGGGAGGACCGCAAUCCUGAUGAUGACUAGCCACAGCAGGACUAAUGAGCUGUGGCUAAGACCAGCAUUCAUGGGGUUUCAGUAAUGAAAUGUAAUGUUAUUAACUUUUAACACUUGAGACAGUGGGGGGGAAAGGGACUCACAUCUGAAUGUAACCACCGUAUGCCACAAAAACGCUCAAGUCCUUCUCAAACAUGAUUUGAAUGCAUUAAAAUGGUUUGAAACUUGUCUGCCUGUUGAACACACAUCCUCAGCCUUUGCCAAUUUAUAGGCCUAUGCAGCCGUUAAAUUCCUAUGUUGUGAAUGACUGGCUGUGAAUGUUUGGCAGGGUUUACAUUUUCUUUAUUGAAAUUUGAUGAGGUGUUUUCAUUUUUUAUUUAUGCCUUUUCUAUCCCAAACUUUAUGAAAUUCACCAAAGGAUCCCACUUUUAUGUAACUUUAAUCUUUCACUAUCCAGUGAUUCCAGGGCCAUGUUCAUUAGGCACCAAACAGAAGAAAAUUAACUGAAACAGGGAAGGACCACCUACCUGGACUUGUCCAAUAACCUAUACAUUCAUUUUUGGUUUGCGUUGCAACAUGUUUUGUAACGUUUUUUUUUUUCUCUAAUAAACAUGACCUAGAUUUUA